rnacentral:ncRNA from 1 species
GAGAACCGGAUGAGGUGAGAGUCGCACGUCCGGUUCGGAGGGCAGUCACGGCGAAACCCAGCCCGGCAACGGGACAAUGGGCGCGCCGUGGCUGACCCUAU